rnacentral:rRNA from 1 species
AAACCGUGGCUCAGUUCAGAUCGUAGGCUGCAACUCGCCUACGUGAAGGAGGAAUCGCUAGUAGUCGCAGGUCACCAUACUGCGGUGAAUACGUUCCCGGGCCUUGUACACACCGCCCGUCACACCAUGGAAGUUGGCCACGCCCGAAGCCGUUACUCCAACCCUUGUGGAGGAGGACGUCGAAGGUGGGGCUGAUGACUGGGGUGAAGUCGUAACAAGGUAGCCGUACCGGAAGGUGCGGCUGGAUCACCUCCUAA